ensembl:lncRNA
CAUCUGGGGCUCAGCCAAUCCGGCCGGACGAAGAAGACUGGCGACAAGUGCCUGCACCUCUCCUUCAGGGGUGCCAUAAUCUGGGGCCACGUGGUGUUUGCCACCCAGGAGACAUCUCCCUAUGACAUAGCAGUGGUGAGCCUGGAGGAGGACCUAGAGGGUGUCCCCAUACCUGUUCCAGCUGAGGAUUUCCAUGAAGGCGAGGCCGUCACGGUGGUGGGCUUCGGCGUCUUCGGCCAGGCUUGUGGGCCCUCAGUGACCUCAGGCAUCCUAUCGGCUGUGGUGCAAGUAGAUGACACACCAGUUAUGCUACAGACCACAUGUGCCGUGCAUGGUGGCUCCAGCGGGGGACCUCUCUUCUCCACCUGCUCUGGGAACCUCUUAGGCAUCAUCGCCAGCAACACCCGGGACAAUAACACUGGGGCCACCUACCCCCACCUGAACUUCAGCAUUCCCAUCACGGUGCUCCAGCCGGCCCUGCAGCAGUACCAUCAGACAGGAGAUCUGGGCGGCCUCCGGCAGCUGGACCGCGCCACUGAGCCAGUCAGGGUGGUGUGGCGGCUGCAGCAACCCCAGACAGAGGCCCCACGGAGCAAGCUCUGAAGCUGUGUCUCCCCUCUGGAGAGAAGAGCAGCCACUUUAUGCCACAGGGAGUGCUAAAGCUGGUGACCUCAGAAUCCUGACCCAGCACGCUGCAGCUGGGCUGCCUCCCGUCGCCAGCCCUGGAGUCUGGAUCAAACUUCUCAUUAGCCUCUAUGGGUCUCUAACCUAGUCGCCCAUUUGAGGGGUGCUUUCUCGAGCCCCCAUCUCUCUCUGUCCCCUGACACUAGACUCAGCUCUGUUCUCUCCCCUUCUGGGGAACCCAGAAUGACUGUACAACAGCCCUGGUCCUGACAGACGGAUGGGAGUUGGAAGGCAGGUCCAGCCCUGGGUUUGAGUCUGCUCCCUGUCUCCUGAUGGCCACCGGCCGCCUGGAGCAGUUGCUUCCUGCACCCUGAGCUCCUCUCUGCUCUGGGUCAGAAUGGGGCUGGCAGAGCACUGGGGCUUCCUCAGAAAAAUGGGCACAGAGGCCCUGUUCUGAAGACCAGAGGUGAAAGGAGGGCAUCUUCCUGUUCCGCUAGACCAGAGGCGGUGGCGUGCCUGAAAGCCAGGACUCCUGGCUCUUCAUAUGCCAGGGGCCCUGACCUACAGGGAUGCUCUGACACAGUGCCUUAAUUUUCCAGCCCAUAAAAUGGGCCUCAGGGAUCUGGGGACAGGGGGCUGGGAUGUGUCUGGUUGGGGUUUGGGAAUAAACAGGAUCGAUAGGAGACAGGACCUACUUCUAUAUAUCAGCUUCUUUUUCUCCUCCUCCUUUGUUUCGAGAGUUGAGUGGGAAAUAGGAAAGCACCAGGCACAGAAAUACAGCUUUUCUGUCCUGCUUUCUCAGUGCGGCUUCAUCUCACAGGACACUCGUGCCAGACUAGUCCUGGUAGCUGGUCCUGGUGCCAGUCACCACGGGGUGGGGCUUGCAGAUCCCGGAGGGUGGUGAUCUUAGCCUGGCUUCAGGUGUUCAGAAAGUGCCCAGGCCUUUGCCAGGCCCUGGAAGUGGGUGGGAGUGGGCAGUUCAAAGGGGAAUGAGGCCAAGGCAGCCCCUUGGAGCUAAGACCAACCCUGGGGGUCAGGAGCAUACACUGUGUGUGUGCCCAGGGCCCUACACAUGUAGGCCCUCAAGCAAUGAUUGUUAAAUCAUCAAUAGGUUGGGCCCCUCAUCUUACUGCAUCUGGGGCUGCCCUUUCAGAGGAGCCAUGGCCAGGGUUGAUCCAUCCAGGCUGGGAGGGGUGCUCCACCAUGGGUGUGGAUUGCAGGUGAAGCUGGGUGCUGUCAACUGAAGCUGUGGGAGCAGGUGGAGUGAAGGGCCUGGGGCCAGAGCAGGAGCCUGCCAGGGGCUGAGAAGAGACAAGCAGAAGCACAGGAAGAAAACCGGGGAGGCUAAGACCUAGGUCAGUGGGGCAGACACCAGAAUCUGUUUUCCUCACUUCUUUCCGGUCCUGGCCACCCUCGCAGUCAGGUGUGUCUGUGAGUUCCAACUCACGGUACCAGAGCAGAAGGGAGGUUUGCCACUUCCAGGCUGGCUUAUAGAAACUUAUCUGGACUUCUCUGCACCCUUACCCCCACCCCCCGCCCCUGGUGGGAGUGAAGGCAACCCUUUAAAGAGACCUUGGGAGCCAUUUAUUAAAGAUGGCCCCCUCGUUCUGGUCCCUGGAUGACGGUGUGGAGGGGGCAGCCUCAUUAACCAGUCCAUCGGCCAGGUACUGAAACCCAGGCCAGAAUUGCACUUCUGCUGCAUUUGAGCCAUUAGACGGGGGGAUCUAUUCGUCACAGCCAUAGAACCUGUCCUCAUAAAGUCUUUGCCUACCUGGGAGCACUAGGCCAAACCACAUUUCGAGGGAGAGUCCUCCUGUCAUCUGAGGGUUAUACAUUUCACUAAAACCAACCAGGCUCUUUGGAUGAAGCUAAGAGUUGUCUCUUCCUUGAGUGGGGUUAGCACUUCUAUUUCUUUGGGUCCCCGGGUUGAGCCCAGUACCUUGGAGUUCCUCCCAGCCCUGGGAGACCAUAGUAGGGUCACCUGUUGCUGUCAGAGACUGUCCUCAGGCCUGGGUGCGCUCACUCAUCAUGGCUGAGAGCCAGCAAUGCUUCCUUCUCAUAGACUCUGUGAUAUUUAAUCUGUGUGCCAUUCUGGUUAAUCAUUAAAGUUCCACAGAACUACCAACAUUAUGACAACCAAAUCAUAUCUCCCUACUACCCCUUGGGACCUGGAAAUUCAAAGAUGACACUUUCUUGUUAGGCAAGGAGCCCUGAUUUUCGGUGCCAAAGCUGUGCACGCUGUUGAGUGGGAAGAAAGGAGUGAUUGUAGGGUGAACUGUCAGGGAACAGCCAAGAGGGACUGGACUGAGAUUCUCUCCCCCAGCCCCACAUUGUAUUUUGGCUUUUUAGGGCCGCGCCCAAGGCAUAUGGAGGGUCCCAGGCUAGGGGUCGAAUCGGAGCUACAGCUGCUGGCCAACACCACGGAAACAGCAACUCCGGAUCUGAGCCGCAGCUGUUACCUACACCACAGCUCAUGGCAACACCAGAUCCUUAGCCUGCUGAUCUAGUCCAGGGAUUGAACCCAAAUCCUCAUGGAUCCUAGUCGGGUUUAUUAACCACUGAGCCAUGAAGGGAUCUCCCCUCUCCCCUUCUUGAAUCAAGGUGUCCUCUGGUUGCCAAGAAGGUGUUAAAUGACCUUCUUUCCCUGGUUGGUGUGGUUUGGAGCAGGUCCUUGAAGAUGGGCCACGCCAGUGCUACAAGCCACGCCUGAGUCCAGUAUGGACCACUGCACACCUCUUCUCAAUCCCAGGUUCAGGUUUGUGAUGAUUUUUUGAGUCUUUCCCUUGUAACCUGCUGAUUGGAAUCCUCUCCAUCUUAGCCCAGUGUCUCCACAAAACUUUCCUUGACCUUCCCAAGCCCAAGGCUGUACUGCUCUUAUUCACCUCUGUCUCCCGCAGAGCUGGGGCAUGUGCCCAGUAAAUUUCUGAUGCCUGCUUAACUCACCAUUGAGUCUCUCCUUUGCUUGGUUAGGCAUGAUGUGCUGCUUUAGGGUCAAGGCCCAGCUACUCUCCUUUACUAGCUGGGUGAUUUUGCCUGAGUUAUUAAUCGAUGAGUUUCAAUUUCCUCAUCUGUGAAAUGAAGAUUAAUAAAACUUACCU